UGCGGAAUUUUAGAUAAUGGAGGGAACUCUGAUCUAGCGACGCCGCGUGCAGGAAGAAGGUCUUCGGAUUGUAAACUGCUGUGGUAAGGGAAAAAUGCUAUGUAGAGUGGAAAGCUACAUAGAGGGAUGGUACCUUACUAGAAAGCCCCGGCUAACUACGUGCCAGCAGCCGCGGUAAUACGUAGGGGGCGAGCGUUACCCGGAAUCACUGGGCGUAAAGGGAGCGUAGGUGGCCUAACAUGUCAACUGUGAAAACCCGGAGCUCAACUCCGGACUUGCAGUUGAAACUGGUAGGCUUGAGGACGGUAGAGGAAGACGGAACUGCCAGUGUAGGGGUAAAAUCCUUAGAUAUUGGCAGGAACGCCGGUGACGAAGGUGGUUUUCUGGGCCGGUUCUGACACUGAUGCUCGAAAGCCAGGG
rnacentral:rRNA from 1 species